AACAAUAAUAAUUGUAAGUCGCUCUGGAUAAGAGCGUCUGCUAAAUGACUUAAA
rfam:Salmo salar isolate Sally breed double haploid chromosome ssa29, whole genome shotgun sequence.